UGUGGCAGGGUUCCAGCAUCCUGCCCAGCAUUUCAAGUGCUCUGUGUGCUACCACUGCUGCCUCUCAGGCCUGAUAAGGAACAGGCCACUGACAGCCUAUUGAGAUGGAGAGAAGGGACCUCAUUGAUUUCAGCAGGCCCCAGGACAGGCUCAAGUGUCCUCUCCUGACCCCUCUCAAGCCAUCUGGAAAAAUGGCUUAUAAGCUUGUCCCUGCCCACAGAGAGCAGAUCCAAUAUCCCAAUCCGGAUGGGGGAAAGCGGCUGUUUUCAAGACGGACCACUUUUUAAAUGUUAAAACAGGAGGGGCUCAGAACUGAGUUUUUAGACAGCUCAGAUGUCAGCUACAUUUCUCUAGCAUGACACGUGCCUGUUGCCAGUGGCAAGUCUUUCCAGCAAGUCUUGUACUUGUUGUUAUGUACUGUUUUAAACAAACCCACAGCAGAACUAAGCAACUGCAGCACACCGCAUUUUGCACUGACCCUACAGAAAAGGGAGCAGAAAAGAUGGACCACCUCACUUCCACCCUGCCACAGGUCUAUGGAGCGAUUCCUGAGUGGUUUAUCCACAUGUUCCAAACCCAGAAGGUUGUGCACUGCGGUAGCUCCUGGACAGAAGGGGAAGAGCAGAGGUCGUGCUGGUUUUGAAAAGGCUGAGAGGACACCAAAGGAAUCAGACAGCAGUGACACUCCUCUGCUGAGAGCACUCUUUCCACACGACCAUUGCCCAGUUUCUACAUGAAAAAACCCUGAUAACCAUUCUAUGGAUGCUGCUUUACAAAAGUGAGUGGAAGAAUCAUUCUUGCACUGCGCCAAGGGAGAUGUGGAGUCACACAGAGACGAAAACGUUACUGCUAGUUUUUCUGCAAAGCAGUGGCAGGGUUAACAUCAAGGAUUUGUUUCCCACUAUUCCUCUCCUUCCUUUUUUAUGAGGCUAUCCAAAGAUACGGUCACAAAAUUAAAUCAGCUCUGCAGGGAGGCUUCAUGACUGGCCACCACUUAGAGGGUUACAGGGAAUCACAUCUAAUUAGCAGUGGAAAACACCUAGGAGUUGCCUGAUGCUCUGGAGGCUCAAGACAGAAUUUUUCCCAAAGGUUUUUUAAAGUAAAGCGCUGCAGUCCUCAGCUGUUUGUACAGAGCAGUCAGCCAGGAUUUACAGCAGCUAUUUCAAGAGGAGCUGGACUGGCCCCACAACACUGCUGACAGUAACGAAGUUGAUUAUAUUUCGUCGCCACGCUCCCGGACCUAGAAGGGAAAACCAGAGCACAUCAGCGGCCUGAUCUGGUAUGACAUUUCGUGGAGAAACUGACAAUAUUCGCUGUUCCGGACAUCCCGAGGUUCCGCCAGCACUCGCUGCUAAGUUUGUAGCCCGG